GUAGGUGGCAAGCGUUGUCCGGAAUUAUUGGGCGUAAAGCGCGCGCAGGUGGUUCUUUAAGUCUGAUGUGAAAGCCCACGGCUCAACCGUGGAGGGUCAUUGGAAACUGGAGAACUUGAGUACAGAAGAGGAGAGCGGAAUUCCACGUGUAGCGGUGAAAUGCGUAGAGAUGUGGAGGAACACCAGUGGCGAAGGCGGCUUUCUGGUCUGUAACUGACGCUGAGGCGCGAAAGCGUGGGGAGCAAACAGGAUUAGAUACCCUGGUAGUCCACGCCGUAAACGAUGAGUGCUAAGUGUUAGGGGGGUUUCCGCCCCCCUUAGUGCUGCAGCUAACGCAUUAAGCACUCCGCCUGGGAGUACGGCCGCAAGGCUG
rnacentral:rRNA from 1 species